rnacentral:rRNA from 1 species
UACGGAGGGUGCAAGCGUUAUCCGGAUUCACUGGGUUUAAAGGGUGUGUAGGCGGGCUGUUAAGUCAGUGGUGAAAUCUCCGGGCUCAACCCGGAAACUGCCAUUGAUACUAUCAGUCUUGAAUUCUGUUGAGGUGGGCGGAAUAUGUCAUGUAGCGGUGAAAUGCAUAGAUAUGACAUAGAACACCAAUUGCGAAGGCAGCGCACUAAGCAGCGAUUGACGCUGAGGCACGAAAGCGUGGGGAUCAAACAGG